UAAUCAACGUCCUCCGCGGCGAAAUGGCGAUCGUCGGCCCGCGGCCUCUGCCCUGCGGCGAGCAGGCCGACUGCGAGCCGUGGCAACACCGCAGGCUCGACACGCGGCCCGGGCUCACGUGCUACUGGC
rnacentral:misc_RNA from 1 species